GUGGUGGCUUCUCUCCCUUAGGUGGUUUGCCAACUGGGGUUGGUGGCUUGUAUGAGUCUUCAGCAUUCUCAGCAGGAGGGUGACCAGGGUUGUGACCAUAAUGUGGUGGCUUCUCUCCCUUAGGUGGUUUGCCAACUGGGGUUGGUGGCUUGUGUUCUGGGAGUGGCUUCUCCCCCUUGGGAGGUUUUUCCAAUGGGGUUGGUUUGUGUUCAGGAGGUGGCUUCUCCACUGGAGGCUUGUGUUCAGGAGGUGGCUUCUCCACCGGAGGCUUGUGUUCAGGUGGUGGCUUCUCCACCGGAGGCUUAUGCUCUGGUGGUGGCUUCUCGAAUGGGGGAUGCUUAGGAUAAUCAGCAAGUGAGGGGGCGGUGAGAACCACCAGGCCAAGCAACACCACUAGCAAAUAUGUAGGAGACAUCUUUGGGUUUGGGCUCAGAUGGUGCAAAACUAGGAGAAUUGGCUAGCCUUUUAUAGCGGAUCGUACCCAAUAAUGAAAUGACACGUGUCAUUAUGACCCAUGUGUAAUGGGGUCGAUUUGGGUCCUACAGUGUUGAAAACUUCGACAUCCACUUUUGGCCUUUUGCUUUCUCUACAGCCGCCUUGCUUUUUCCCUCUUUCCUUUUGUUUUCCUCCUGCCCCAUUCUAUCAACUAAACACAAUUAUGUAGUUGUUUAAUUCUUAAAUGAGAUAUUAUCCGUCAAUCGUAUUAUAUUUUAUCAAGAGAGAACGGAGUGCAAUGUGGCUGUAAUUUUAUCGUUUAGUUUUAUCUCUUGGACCACUGCAUUUUUGUUAAGAGGUGCAAUAAUACACGUCUUUAUCUGCCAUUCAAUAUUUACAGUAAAGAGAGGGCACAAAACUCUUCACUUCGCACCAUAAUUAUUUUGUUUUCUGGACACCCCGGGGCCCUUUGGUUGGUUUGGGGGUCAGAAAGUGAACAUCAUAGGGGGUUUUUCCCUUAUGUGCAUUUGUAUCUGAUGGCUUUAACUCGCCUUGUUACUACAAAGAAACUGUCACAGAUAGGAACUUAUUCCAGGCUGAGUAUCUCCUCAUAGACCCUAUAAAAGAAGACAAGUCAUAAUGAACAUCUAACCUUUGUUCAAUUUGAUUCAAUGCCCCCAUUGUGUCCAUCUCACAAAUCUGAAUUAUUAUAUCCAUUGAAUACAUAAAUUAAUGAAGAAAAUAUGAAACCCAAGAUACAUCUCUGCACAACCUCAACCCUGGUUGCUAUGUUUCCCUUCUAUUCACAUGAUUUGAUGCUAAUUGCCAAACUUGCAACAAGCCCUGAGUUUGACACCUAGUAUCGAUGGGCGAAUUUAAAGUCUCCUCCAAACAUAUAUUCCACAGCUUGAAGCUCACAGAAGAUGUUACAGGCAGGGAAAAACCUUCAGAGUUCGCUACCAAAGAUAAUUAUUAAGGAGAUAUCACAAAGAGAAUUCCAAGGGGUCUGAAUCAAAGACAAAUUGGUCGUUCGUGGGGGUUCUUACUUUCUUUUGGGUAUAACUCACUGAGGGCACUGUCUUUGUUAUUUGCAUUUCACAUUUAGAGUUCUGUUCUGGAAACAUAUAAAAGGAGCAUCAUUUUGUUCUUGGGUAACCCAUAGUCGUGAGUGGGUCCAUUUGCAUGCUACUUAGUUGAAAAGUUGGACCAUUUGCUCCGACGCCUACCUCCCGGAUUCCAUGCUCGGAUAAAACAAGAAUAAAAAAAAUAUUUAUAAUUUACAAAUGGGGGAAAGAAAAAAAUGUCAACAACAAACCAGGAAAAAAGAGUAGUAAAAUUCAUGUCACAUGCUAGUGAGAGAAGGGGUUGUUACACUCACUCGAAGUUCUUUCCAAAAUAUCGCAUGGUAUUUUAUUUUAUGUGUCAGCGCAGUUGUGAAUGGAACGUGCAAAAGUCCAAAUUGGCGUUUUUCCUUUUCCCGUGUAGGAUGGCGACCUUUAAUAAAUAUUUAAAACAAAAAACGAAAAAAAGGAGGGAAAAGGGAUCAGAAAAGAUAAAACAAUGUGUACAAGAGCUCAAUUAGUUUGCAAAUUACUGUUUGGAUUUUGAUAGUAUUUUAUUUGUCCAUCUAUAUUUGAUGGAAAAGAGAAUUUAAGAUAUUUCUGAAACAAAAGCAUUAGUGUAAAACUAAAUUAAGGUAUAAUUAAGUUAGUUCAAUGCAUUAAUUUAAGAAACUUGAUCUAUCCAAAGUACAAAAUUAGAUGAAAUCCAUUUCAAUGGUUAAAAUGAUCAAAAUCAAACUUUUUCUAAGUAUUUUUUAAAAGCAUCAAUAUUAAAAGACAAUUUUAUAUUUAGUCGGAGUUUGGACAAAACCAAAAAGCACACAAAAUCCAAGCGACCAUCUCUAGCUUGGAUAGUCACUUGAUCCCACCUAGAGAUGUGCAUGAGUAAAAGGAUUUGAAAAUGGAAAUUGACUAAAUAUUUAGUUGAUCAAUUAAAUUUGCAAUGUCAUAUGCAAUCCUAAUAGCUAGUCAUCUAAUCAAUUAGGUAGUCAAUCAAGUGUUUGUAAUGACUAUUUUGUACAAAAAACCACAUGUAUAGUUAAAUAUAAUGCAUUUCAUUUAUAAAUCUUCUAAUUCUUGAAUAACGAUCCUAUCAUCCUUUGAAAAUUUUUAUUACACCUUUUUUACUUUUGUUCUAAAACUUACAUAUCACCCUUAAUUGUACCAUGAGAACCUAGCUAUUUUUUUUUUUUUUGUAAUUCAUCAAAGUUAGCUUUUGUAUUCAUUGUUGUAUUAUUUUUAGUAUAACUUAGAAAGCUAGUGUUUUCAAGUGAGUAAAAUUAACUUGUAAAUAUUGUAAAGAUUCAUUGAUAUGUAUCUUAAACUAAGUGUACAAAUUAAAACAUUUGCUAGUAGAUUUUCUCAAAAUUUAGAAUAGAGCUUGAGGCUAUUGAAAUAGGUGGGGUUACACCAAACCACAUCACAUCGUUGUUUGCACCUUUUUUCACUCUCUUUUACUUAGUUUCUCUAUAUUUGUUGUCUAGUAAUAUCCUAUAGGCUUGAUGGGUUAGGGAGCAUCCCUUUGUGAAAAAAUUUCAUUCAAUUCUUAGUUGUAUUACGCAUAUAUAAAAUGCCUCAUUGUUUUAAUGGUAUUCAGUCGUGGCAUCACAGAUAUGGGCAUCUAAAUUUUAAAAGUUUGAAACUUUUGUAAAGCAUGUUGAUAAAAUCCAUGAGAGUUGUGUACUUGGGAAGCAACAUCGAGGUGACUUUAUUUUUUUUUCCUUUUAUAAUGCCACACCUAAGUCCGGUUUCUAAAUGCUAAAGUGAAAGGGUAGGUAUGGACCAUUGAAAUGUGAUCACAACUUUUGGCCUUUUCCUUUCUCUGCAGCCAUGUUGUCUCUUUUUUCUUUUGCAUGAUUUUCUUACCAAAACAGAAUCAUAGACUUGUUUAGUCUCUAAGCUACUAUAUUAUAUCUCGGUGGACUUUUAAGAGUGCAACCGACAUAGAGCACAUGCAAGUGGGCAUAUGGGACAUGAAAUUUCUUCUUACAAAGAUUGCAUGAUUUUUAUAUUAGAGUUGUUCACGUGCAAUGUAUUUAGCUUGUUUUGCAGUUAAAUUAAUUGGAUAAGUAAACAUUGGCAUUUCUAAAUCGACUGUGAAGUGCUUCAUGUACGUGUAAAGUAUUAGAAAUUUCUUUCUUGGCAACUUGUUUUUUCCUUGCCAUCUACUGGUAGGUUUGACUAAAAUUAUAUUCCCUGUCAUGCUAAUUAAUUUUCAUGUGCAUGCUCAAAAGAAGAGUAUGACCUUAGUGCACCAAAAUCACUUUGAUUAAUUUGUGAUAGGUUUUUUUGCAUCAUUUAGAUAAUGUUUAGUUCUAAGAAAAAUUUAUAUAAAAAUGGUUUAUUUAUCUUACAUAUAUAUAUAUAUAUAUAUAUUUUUUUUUUUUUCAUUUUUUUUUCUUCUAUUUUAUUUAUUUAUUUUAUUUUCCUUAUGUUUUCCUCACAUUUUCCGGAACUAAACAUAGUCUUACGAAAUCAACAAUUGCCUUCAACUGAGUAGAUUCUGUUGUUUUAGCAAUGUUAGGCUGCUAACUUGUGGUGGUACGAACCAAAUGACCCAUGUUAAUCUUGGCUUGGUUUGAUUUGGCUCUAUCUCAGAGAGCUAAAGGAUCACGUCAACUCUGGUUUCUACUAUUCAGGUCCAUUCCCAGAUGAACUGGUUCAAAUUUGAGAAAAUGGUAACAGACCUUUAGUGAUGUUGGUUUGGAGCCAGUUGCCAAACCCGCCCUGAGCUUUACCACUAAUGUCAAGGGAGAAAGCCAUUUGAACAAAAACAAUAGCUUCAAGAGACUGAAUCGUGGAUGAAAUCUGAUCCACAUUUCUUCUCAUUUUGGGAAAAAAUGAGAACUUAACUACAAAGAUUCUACUGCCUCAUUCAUAGUGCUUUUCCUGAUCCAAGGUUGGUUCGUUUCCCAAAUUGUGAGGUGCACGUGCCACUCUCACGCUCAGGAGUGUAUCCACGUGGUGGACAUCAGAUGGUGGCUUAAUAUCUGGUGUCGGUGGCUUUACUUUACUAGGAGAGUAGUGUGUCUUCAUCUCAUUCACUGCCGGAGGGUGGCGUAAGCAGUGACGCUAAGGUGGGGCACAGUCAAUAUCAUUUGCAUUUGACCAUUAUAGUUUUCUCCCGGCUUGAAAGUAACCUUAUCGUGAUAAAGGAUUACUAGCACUAGUUCAGAUGACCGUCAUGUUAAUUCGGACCAUGUUUGUGUCACAUUAUCAGCAACCAUGUGUUUAUGGUUCAUGCUAUCUGCAACUAAACUUGAUAUAUAACCAGGUGAACUUCAAUCAAAAUUCUGGAAGUACUCUUGUGAUAGAUGGUGCCUGUCUGCAGAGUCCAUCAAUUGAAAAAUGGAGUGAGUGUAUCUAUAAGAGGGAAGGCUUGGCAAAUGUUCAGUUUUCUGGGAAUUCAACAAGGAUCUAAAAUAGAUUGUUUUCUUUGCCGACUUCAAUGGUUGAAAUUUGAGAAGAUUGUGUCCACAUAUCACAACUAUUACUGGUCCUUCUGUUGCAAUUUAUCCUGUAAGGCUCUAACAUGUCUUCCAAUUCCCACUUCCCUGUUACUCCAGGAAAGCUAUUUCUGUCAUUGUGAAGAAGAAAAGAGAAUGUACAUAUCGAUGCUUUUAAGUGACUGGAGCAUUCAUAUCAGGUGGUCUGCAGCCAUAUAUGCCACUUUGUGAAGGUUGGAACAGUCAAUCACUAGGCUAUAUAUUGGUGUGGCCCAGCCACUUCAAUCAAGGACAAGUCUUCAUACUUAAAGUCAAAUUCUGCCUUUAGUCUCAUUAUAAAUUGCUGUUUAAAUAUUAAGCAAACUUUUGUUUAAUGCGAUUAAGACAGUACUAACUCAAUACUUGUUCUAUUUUUGGAUGCAAAUGCUUGAUGGUUUCAUCAUUGGAUGGGAUAAAGGUGCAUUCAUGAUUAUGAAUACUUGUAGUUAUAUUUUCAUUCUCUUUUUUCUCAAUGAGACUUGUUGGCACAAUGUUGCUGUUCAGAAACCUACCUCUCCAUGGAAAAUAAGUUGCGAUUGAUAGUACUGGAUAUGUUCAAGAAAGCUAAAUAUAGAUAGCACAAAAUAUUAUCGAUAUAAAUAGCAUUAACAGCGUACGUAUGUCUCAAUGCUCAUCAGCUAUAAGCAUGGGACAAACACUUACUAUGAGCAACUUACGUCAAAAUUCCAGAAUAGGACAUAGAAGUGACAGAUCUAUAUAUAUAGAACACUGCAUAUGAGUCACAAGAAAGGAAAUUACGGGUGCAUAGCAGCUCUUAUUUUACAUACUACUACUCAUACUGAUCAAAGUCACUCAGUUGGGAUGGGUGGGAGUAGGAGGUUUGUGGGGUGGCUUGUGCGGAGGAGUUGGCAGCUUCUUUCCAGGACCUGGUUGCUUCUCUGCUGGAGUUGAAGGAGGCUUAAUCUUCCGAGGUGGCUUGUAUGAGUCUUCAGCAUUCUCAGCUGGAGGGUGACCAGGGUUGUGACCAUAAUGUGGUGGCUUCUCUCCCUUAGGUGGUUUGCCAACUGGGGUUGGUGGCUUGUAUGAGUCUUCAGCAUUCUCAGCAGGAGGGUGACCAGGGUUGUGACCAUAAUGUGGUGGCUUCUCUCCCUUAGGUGGUUUGCCAACUGGGGUUGGUGGCUUGUGUUCUGGGAGUGGCUUCUCCCCCUUGGGAGGUUUUUCCAAUGGGGUUGGUUUGUGUUCAGGAGGUGGCUUCUCCACUGGAGGCUUGUGUUCAGGAGGUGGCUUCUCCACCGGUGGCUUGUGUUCAGGAGGUGGCUUCUCCACCGGAGGCUUAUGCUCUGGUGGUGGCUUCUCCACCGGAGGCUUAUGCUCUGGUGGUGGCUUCUUGAAUGGGGGAUGCUGAGGGUAAUCAGCAAGUGAGGGGGCGGUGAGAACCACCAGGCCAAGCAACACCACUAGCAAAUAUGUAGGAGACAUCUUUGGGUUUGGGCUCAGAUGGUGCAAAACUAGGAGAAUUGGCUAGCCUUUUAUAGCGGAUCGUACUCAAUAAUGAAAUGACACGUGUCAUUAUGACCCAUGUGUAAUGGGGUCGAUUUGGGUCCUACAGUGUUGAAAACUUCGACAUCCAGUUUUGGCCUUUUGCUUUCUCUACAGCCGCCUUGCUUUUUCCCUCUUUCCUUUUGUUUUCCUCCUGCCCCAUUCUAUCAACUAAACACAAUUAUGUAGUUGUUUAAUUCUUAAAUGAGAUAUUAUCGGUCAAUCGUAUUAUAUUUUAUCAAGAGAGAACGGAGUGCAAUGCAGCUGUAAUUUUAUCGUUUACUUUUAUCUCUUGGACCACUGCAUUUUUGUUAAGAGGUGCAAUAAUACACGUCUUUAUCUGCCAUUCAAUGUUUACAGUAAAGAGAGGGCACAAAACUCUUCACUGCUCUGCAUGUGUCCCAAAAAUGCGAUUGGACAAAUUAUGAUUUGCAUGCUAAAAAGAGGCAAAUGAGGUUAAUUCGCACCAUAAUUAUUUGGUUUUCUGGACACCAUAAAAAGAUGUUAUACAGGCAGGGAAAAACCUUCAGAGUUAGCUACCAAAGAUAAUUAUCAAGCAGAUAUCACCAAGAGAAUUCCAUAGAGUCUGAAUCAAAGACAGAUUGCUCGCUCGUGGGGGUUCUUACUUUCUUUUGGGUAUAACUCACUGAGGUCACUGUCUUUUUUAUUUGCAUUUCACAGUUAGAGUUCUGCUCUGGAAGGUUUGUUCUGGAAACAUAUAAAAGGAGCAUCAUUUUGUUCUUGGGUAACCCAUAGUCGUGAGUGGGUCCAUUUGCAUGCUACUUAGUUGAAAAGUUGGACAAUUUGCUCCGACGCCUACCUCCUGGAUUCCAUGCUCGGUAAAACAAGAAUAAAAAAAAAUAUAUAAUUUACAAAUGGGGGAAAGAAAAAAUGUCGGAAAAAAUAGUAAAAUUCAUGUCACAUGCUAGUGAGAGAAGGGGUUGUUACACUCACUCGAAGUUCUUUUCAAAAUAUCGAAUGGUAUUUUACUUUAUGUGUCAGCGCAGUUGUGAAUGGAACGUGCAAAAGUCCAAAUUGGCGUUUUUAUUUUUCCCAUGUAGGAUGGUGACCUUUAAUAAAUAUUUAAAACAAAAGACGAAAAAAAAAAGGAGGGAAAAGGGAUCACAAAAGAUAAAAUAAUGUUUACAAAAGCUCAAUUAGUUUGCAAAUUACUGUUUGGAUUUUGAUAGUAUUUUAUUUGUCGUUCUAUAUUUGAUGUAAAAGAGAAUUUAAGAUAUUUCCGAAGCAAAAGCAUUAGUUUGCUCUGUGAUGUCCCACAUCGAAUAGGGGAGAAAGUUUCUGGCGCUAUAUAUGUAGAGGCUCCUCUUAACCAAGUAGAUGCGUUUUAAAACCAUGAGGGCCCCCUUAGGUCCAAAGCGGACAAUAUCUACAUGAUUGGGUGUAAGUCAUUACAAAUGGUAUCAGAGCCGAUCCCCGACCCCGGUGUGGGGGUUUGUUUGGCCCUGUAAGGGGUGUUUGUCUGUUUGACCCCACAAUCCCAUGGGACACAACGAGGACGUUGUGUCUGCAUGGGGGGGCGUUUGUGAUGUCCCACAUCGGAUAGGGGAGAAAGUUCCUAGUGCUAUAUAUGUAGAUGUUUCUCUUAACCAAGUAGAUGCAUUUUAAAAUUGUGAGGGCCUCUUUGGGCCCAAAGCGGACAAUAUCUACAUGGUUGAGUGUAAGUCAUUACAUGCUCCAUGUCAAUUUCAGCAUUUCUCAUAUGUUUCACACAUACACAGAAGAGCAUCGUUUUUUAAAGCAUGCAUUUAUGUUGGAUUAAUUUGGAUUUUGUGGGAACUGGGGCAAGGAUCACAUGGAAGAGAGGUUGACUUUUUUCAGUACUUCAAUGGUUGAAAUAUGUGAAGGCUUGAUUGAUACUAAAGCUUGAAAUUGCGACUCUGUCAUUUGUAAAAAAAUAUGACAGCUUCCAUGCUCUCGUUUGGUUGCAUUGUCCGGUCGAGAGGUGCAAAAAGCAUUCUCUCUCUUCUAAUAGUCUUUUCGUUUAAAUCAAGGGAUUUGCCUUCCCGGUCGAGGUCCAAUAGAGGGUAACGGUCACCUACUAAACAUUAAAUGCUCCAACAACUAGUGAACUGAUCGACCCCAGCUCGACUAGUUGAGGUUACUUUUUGGUUUUCUUGUCUCCCGAGGUUAGAAACCUAUAAAUAGAGAGCUUCACUUCAUUUAUGAGUAAGAGAACACCUAAAUUUAUUUGUUUACCUACUUGUUUUUGCCAUAAAAGCUCUCAUUUCUUUUCUUGGUGUAUUAAAUCUCCAUUUGCAUAUCCUUUAGUGCACCUUUGUGAUUCAUUCUAGCCUUGAGUUGUAUUUAAGCCUUUGUUGAGCUAGGUUGAGAGUUUCAUACUUGUUUAUUGAGUGUUAAAGCCUUCAAGUGAGUUAAAACUUGAAGAGAUUGUGUAAGAGCCCAUUGGAGUCGGAAUCCAAGUGUAAAGGUGAUUAAAAGCUUGGUUGAAGCUUCAAGUUAGUGGAACUCUCACUCGGUUAUGAGCUUGAGAAGAGUGGACAUAGACAAGGCAGUGUCGAACCACUAUAAAAUCUGAGUUUGAUUUCUCUAACCUUAUCUCUUUAUAUUUGCUUCUCUUGUGCUUAAAUUUUUUGUGUUUAAAAAGAAUUUUUAAAAACUCAAUUCACCCCCUUCUUGGGAGUUUUUCUCUUUUAAGAUCAGCUUUUAUUUUCUCAAUUGGUAUCAGAACUAUGCCUCUUGUUUAAGACUUAAUCGUCUAAGAGGAAAUGGCUAAUCCAUCAAGUUCAUCUCACAUUGAAAGUUUUGCAACCAAUAGACUUCUUUUUUUUUUUUUGCGGGAACUGAUUAUCCCUAUUGGAAAACUAAAAUGACUUGGUUUUUACAAUCAAUUGAUUUAGAUGUAUGAGAUGCCAUUGAAGAUGACCUAACUUUUCCUUCAAAACUAGUUGAUGGAGUCAUGGUUCCAAAACCUAAGCAAGAAUGGGAUGAGCGUGAUUGAAGAAAUUUUCAAUUAAAUGCUAAAGUCGUUUAUACUUUGCAAUGCUCUAUGGACAGAAAUGAAUAUAAUAGAAUAUGUCAAUGCAAAUCGGUUAAAGAAAUUUGGAGAUUGCUUGAAAUAACUCAUAAAGGAACAAAUCAAGUUAAAGAGUCAAAAAUCAAUUUACUUGUUCAUAGAUAUGAAUUGUUUUUUAUGAAAGAUAAUGAAACUAUUGUUAAGAUGAUCACUAGGUUCACCAACAUUGUUAAUGGUCUUAAAGCCUUGGGAAAGACCUACAAGGAAUCCGAAAACGUGAUGAAGAUCUUGAGGUCACUUCCAUCAAAGUGGCAUACCAAGGUCACCGCAAUUUAAGAAGCAAAAGACUUGAUCAAGCUACCUUUGGAGGAGUUCAUAGGGUCAUUGAUGACAUAUGAAAUCAAUUUGGCAAAGAAGUAACAAAAAGGUGAAGACAAAAAGAAGAAGAACAUAACUCUCAAAGCUACAACUAAGGAAGAAGAAGUUGAAGAAGAAAAACAAAUUGAAGAAGAUGAAGAUUUAGCCCUCAUCACAAGAAAGUUCAACAAAUUCAUGAGGGGUGAAAGGUUUAGAAGAAGAAGGUUCACUUCUAGAAGAGACUUUUCUAAAAAGGAAUCUUCAUCUAAUGGUGACAAAAAGAGAUGGGAAGAGAAAAGAGACUUGGUGUGUUUCAAGUGCAAGAAACCGGGACACAUUAAAUAUGAUUGUCCUCUCUACAAAAGUGAAGUCAAGAGGAAAAAGAAUAAGGCAAUGAUGGCCACUUAGAGUGAAAGUGAAGAUGAAUCAUCCGAAGAAGAAAAUGAGAAAGAAGUGGCAAACAUGUGUUUCAUGGCAAUAGAUGAACUUGAUGAGGUAAAAUCUAACCUUAGUGAUUAAGAUAUACAUGAUGCAUUUGAAGAAUUGUAUGAGGAUUUUUAAAAACUUAGUUUGAAAAAUAUUUCUCUUAAAAAGAAAGUUCAACAACUUGACAAAGAACUUAGAGAAGUAAAAGAAAAAUUUUCAAAUGUUAAAGUUUCUAAAACUCAUCUUGAAAAAGAAAAUGAGAUUCUAAGAAAGAAAAAUGAAUAGUUGAACUCCUCUCUUUCAAUCUUUUCUUCUAGACAAAAAUCUUUUGAAAUGAUUCUAACUAGCUAAAAAUGUGUUUUUGACAAACAAGGGUUAAGAUUUAAAUCUUCAAAAAAUCAAAAGUAUUUUAAAAACUAUUUUGUAAAGGAAUCCACAAGUGCAAGUCCUUCCACUACUUGCAACUUUUGUGGAAGAGAAUGGCACAUUAGUAGUACGCCCUUUAAGAAAUGGUUCUCAAAAGAAUUUAAAUGCAAAAACUAAAAAAGAUUUGGAUUGAGAAAUCCAAGGUCACUAACCCUCAAGGACCCAAAAAGAUAUAGGUACCUAAAUCAACUUGAGUUUUAUGUUGUAAGGUUCAAAGAAUGAUAAGUGGUUCUUAGAUAAUGGUUGCUCAAGACACAUGACCGGAGAUGAAUCCAAGUUUGCUUUUCUUAAAAAGAAAAAUGGAGGAUAUGUUACCUUUGGAGACAAUGCAAAAGAAAGGAUGAUUGGUCAAGGCAACAUUGGUAAUGGCACAUCCUCUCUCAUUGAAAGUGUUUUAUUAGUAGAUGGUUUCAAACAUAACCUUUUAAGCAUUAGUCAAUUUUGCGACAAAGGUUUUUAAGUGAUUUUUUAAGCAUCUCAUUGCAUCAUCAAGGAUAUUCAAAAUGAUAAAACCAUUUUCAUGGGCCAUAGAUGUGAUAAUGUUUAUGCUAUAAAUAUUUCAAAAUAUGAUGGCCAUGAUAGAUGUUUUUCAAGCAUGCAUGAUCAAAGUUGGUUGUGCCAUAGGAGAUUGAGACAUGCUAACAUAGACCUCAUUUCCCAACUCAACAAAGAUGAACUUGUUAGAGGCCUUCCCAAAAUAAUUUUUUAAAAAGAUAAAGUUUGUGAAGCUUGUCAAGUGGGAAAGUAAAUCAAAAACUCUUUUAAAAACAAAAACUUCAUUUCCACAUCUAGGCCACUUGAGUUGUUGCAUAUGGAUUUAUUUGGUCCCUCUAGGACACCAAGUCUUAGAGGAAAUUCUUAUGCAUAUGCUAUUGUGGACGACUUCUCUAGAUACACAUGAGUCUUGUUUUUUAGUCAAAAGAAUAAAGUUUUUUAUGAGUUUUCAAAGUUUUGCAAUAAGAUUCAAAAUGAAAAAGGUUUUUCAAUUACUUAUAUAAGAAGUGAUCAUGGGAGAGAAUUCGAAAAUAUUGAUUUUGAAGAGUAUUGCAAUGAGCAUGGAAUUGACCACAAUUUUUUGGCUCUUAGAACUCCUCAACAAAAUGGGGUAGUUGAAAGGAAAAAUAGAACUCUUCAAAAAAUGACAAGAACCAUACUAAAUGAAAACAACUUACCAAAAUAUUUUUAGGCCAAAACGGUUAACACUUCUUGUUAUGUUUUAAAUAGAGUAUUAUUGAGGCUCAUACUUAAGAAAACUCCCUAUGAGCUUUGGAAAAACAAAAAACCCAACAUUAGUUAUUCCAAAGUCUUUGGAUGCAAUAUUUUAUAAUAAACACCAAAGACAAUCUUGGAAAAUUUGAUGCAAAAUUGGAUGUUGGAAUUUUCCUUGGUUACUCAACUUCAAGUAAAGCUUUUCGAGUUUUAACAAAAGAACCAUGGUUGUAGAGGAGUCCAUCCAUGUUAUUUUUUAUGAAUCUCCAAGAAAGAGAGAGGAUUGAUGAUGAUUUAGGUUUGAAGACCUCUAUAGGAAGAUUGCAAAUCGAAGAUAGAAGACAACAAGAAGAAAAUGGAGAGAAUCCAAAGAAAGAAGGAUCACCAUUGGCACUACCCCCUCAUCAACAAGCGCAAGGUGAAUCAAGUCAAGAGCUUCCUAAAGAAUGGAAGUUUGUCAUCAAUCACCCACAAGAUCAAAUUAUAGGCAAUCCAUCUAGUGGGGUAAGAACUAGAUCCUCUCUUAGAAAUAUUUGCAAUAAUCUAGCUUUUAUCUCUCAAAUUGAGCCUAAAAAUAUAAAUGAUGUUUUAGAUGAUGAAAAUUGGAUAAUUGCAAUGCAAGAAGAGUUAAAUCCAUUUGAAAGAAGUGGAGUAUGGGAAUUAGUACCAAGACCUUCAAAUCAAAGUGUUAUUGGAACUAGAUGGAUCUUUAGAAAUAAAAUGGAUGAAAAUAGCAUAAUUGUUAGAAAUAAAGCAAGAUUGGUAGCCCAAGGUUUUAAUCAAGAAGAAAUGAUAGAUUAUGAAGAAACCUUUGCCCCCGUAGCUAGGUUGGAAGCCAUUAGGAUGCUACUUGCCUUUGCAUGUUUUAAAGACUUUGUUUUAUAUCAAAUGGAUGUGAAAAGUGCUUUUUUAAAUGGUUUUAUAAAUGAAGAAGUAUAUGUUGAACAACCACCCGGUUUUCAAAGUUUCAACUUUCCUAACCAUGUUUUUAAACUUAAAAAGACACUUUAUGGUUUGAAACAAGCACCUAGAUCAUGGUAUGAAAAAUUGAGUAAAUUUCUUUUGAAAAAAAUGUUUUAAAAUGGGAAAAAUUGACACAACUCUUUUUAUAAAAACCAAAGAAAAUGAUAUGCUCUUAGUUCAAAUAUAUAUUGAUGAUAUCAUUUUUGGUGCUACUAAUGUCUCUCUUUAUGAAGAAUUUUCUAAGUGCAUGCAUAGUGAGUUUGAAAUGAGCAUGAUAGGAGAACUCAACUUCUUCCUUGGACUUCAAAUCAAGCAACUAAAGGAAUGAACCUUCAUCAAUCAAGCAAAGUAUAUAAGAGAUCUUCUCAAAAGGUUCAACAUGGAAGAAGCCAAAACAAUGAAGACUCUAAUGAGCUCAUCCAUUAAGCUUGAUAAGGAUGAGAAAGGUAAAUCCAUUGACUCUAUUAUGUAUAGAGGCAUGAUAGGUUCUUUGCUCUAUUUGACCACUAGUAGACCUUACAUUAUGUAUAGUGUGUGUUUGUGUACUAGAUUUCAAUCUUGUCUUAAAAAAUCUCACUUAAGUGUCGUGAAAAGAAUCCUCAAAUAUUUGAAAGGGACAAUGGACAUAGGCUUAUGGUAUCCUAAGAGUGAUAACUUUGAAUUAAUUGGUUUUUUGGAUGCUGAUUUUGUCAGUUGUAGGGUUGAAAAAUAAAACACUAGUGGCACUUUUCAUUUCUUAAGACACUUACUUGUCUCAUGGCAUAAUAAGAAGCAAAAUUUGGUAGCUUUGUCAACAGCAGAAGCUAAAUACAUAGCAACUGGUUUAUGUUGUGCACAAAUCCUUUGGAUGAAAUAAACACUUAGUGAUUUUGAUUUAUCUUUUGAGCAUAUUCCUAUUAAAUGUGAUAAUAGUAGUGCCAUAAGUAUAUCAAAAAAUCUCGUGCAACACUCUAGGACUAAGCAUAUAGAGAUUAGACAUAAUUUUCUUAGAUAUCAUACACAAAAGGAUGAUAUAACACUUGAAUUUGUAAGCAUAAAAGACCAACUUGCCGAUAUCUUUACAAAACCUCUAAGAACAUUUUGUUGAUAUUAGAGGACAAUUAGGAGUGAUUUCUUUAUGAUCUAAUGUGAUGAAUUCUUGAUGAAUAUACUUUUUGAUUGCAUGAAUUUCAUGUCAUAUAUGCAUCAUAUAGAAAUAUACUUAGAUAAUGGUCAAAUUUCGACCAAAAAUCAAAAUUCCCAUGGCAUUAGGCAUAAAAAUUUUGGAAUUUCAACUGAAAAUGGUAGGAGGAGGAUCACAAAAUGAGAAAGUAUGCAAAAAUUGAAAAAUCAAAACGUUGACCAAGCGGUCAAUCGGACUAGACCGAUCGACUAGUUUGUCGAGAUUUAGGAUUUUUAAGAGACUCCAACGCUUCAAUUUUUGCACCGUUCUCCUCUAUUUCUUCACGGUUUCUCUGAUUUUGUCUUUUAGAGACUAAUUUGAGUGCGUUUUGGAUCAAUUGAAGCAUUUUGGAUUGGAUUUUAGGAAGAUUGAAAGUUAAGGUUUCGGAUUUGGGUCGCCUUCUCUUCCUCUCGCGUGUCACAAUCAGCUUUAGCAUUGUUCUCUUUCCAUUUUCACACACCUAGGGUUUCAGUUGUGAGCAUCUCUCUCUCUUUACCAACCACUACUCCCUUGCUUCUUCCAUAUGGCUCCUAGGCGAGAGUCCGCUACUUCUAGGGCACAAGGCAAGCACCCAACUGAGUCGUCUCAGUCAAAGGCACGUCGAAAAGUGAGAUUUGACAUUGCCUUGUUCAGUUCCAUGGAGGACUACCAACUAUACAAGCAACACUUUGCUUAGAGACGAGUAGUUCCCAAGAGAAAUAUUAAUUUUCCUCAACUUCAGCAUUUCGAAUUUAAGGGUCUAUUUACUAGGAUGGUUGGUUGUCUAUUGUCACAAUUUCGGAGCCGGUUUUCCUGACCUUAGUGCGAGUUUUUUACUCGAGGGCGACUUAUGGCAUGGGUGGCAUGAUCAUUUCUACUGUUGGAGGAGUUGAGAUCUGUCUGGACCCAGAGAGCAUCUGCCAUAUUUUCGAUAUUGCUCUGGUUGGACUCAAAGUAUACAAGUCCAAAAUGUGGCCCAUUGUGCCAGGAUUUGAGCUUAGAGAGGUCAUUCAGAGGAUUUGUGAACUUCCAGACGCCCAGGAGAUGGGCAAACCAUUGCCACACAGUUUGACGGUCAUCAACAGGGUGCUACACCAUAUAUUGUGCUCUAUCUUUCUACCACGAAGUGGACAUUGAGAUGAGGUCUCUUAUUAUGAGGCAUUCCUUAUUGACUCCAUUCUAACGGAGAGACGAAUUCAUCUACUAUGUCAUCAUUCACUAAGCCUCCUCACAGUGACAUACCACCUCAUCAGGCACCUCUUGCUCCUGACCAUGCUCCAUUGAUGGAUUUAUUUACUCAUAUUAGCUCUCUAGGCACUCGCAUGAAGGAGUUUGUUGUAGUUAGUGAUACAUGGUUCUACUCCAUAGAGGAUCGCAUGGAUCAGUAUCAGACUGGCUUCACGUCACAGUUUGAGUAUCUCCAAUAGAGGAUUGAGCAUAUUGAGGAUCACUUGAGCAUGAGAAGAUGAUGGCUUUUCUAUGCUCUGUGUUUCCACCUCCACCUCGUCAACCUUGAUUUCUUAGAGACCCAUUGUUUUCAUUUUGUAAUGUUGCCAAAAGGGGGAGAUAUUUAGGAUCUAGGACUCUAUAGGAGACUUACAUGCAUAUCAUUUUCAUAUCAUUGUUUGGAUCGUACAUAUUGGAUAGUGAUACUUUUUACUUAUAUAUGAUAUGCCUAUAUGUUUCAUGUCUUACAUUGUUUCUUAUUGCAAAUUAUCUCUAACAUGUCUUGAUUAUCUUUUUUUUAACUUCAUAAAUUUUGAUUGUUAACCCAUGAUUGGUUUGAGGGGAAGAUUCUUCUUCUCCUAGAUAACCAAGGUUUGUCAUCAUAAAAAAAUUGGAGAUUGUUAGCCCAAGGGUUCUCCUAAUCAUGUUUUGAUGAUAACAAACCAUGCUUAAGUUACUAAUUGGUUUGAAUUAUAAAGAAUUUCAAGUGUUAAUUUGAAAAUUCAUCAAAGAACCUAAUGGAUGCAAGAUCAAGAUUUUUGGAAGACCUUUAAUCAUAAGAAACAUAUGUAAGAUGAAUGCAUGGGUGCACUUAAGAUUUGCAUAUCAUUUCAUGCAUAUUUGGAAAACACGGUUUAUGCUUUAAAGUUACAUUUCCAUCAAAAUUUGAGAUCCAUCAAAUGAACCUUAGGAAAAAUGUUUUAAAAUUGGCAUAUAAUUUUACCUAAAGACCUUGCCUAAGUGUUAGAAGCAAAAGGACAAAAAAAAUAUAGGUUUUCUGGUCAAAAAUGGUGAACCAGUCAAGGCAUUGUCUAAAUCAGCUCAAUCGGCCAAGGUACCGGUCGAUCGGUUUCCCUUUCCCUGUCGAGAUCUAGUCAAGAGGUACAAAAAUCACAAUCUCUGUCUCUUUCUCUCUUUGUCUAUCUUCCAGUAGUCUUUCCUUCCCGGUCGAGGGAUUUGCCUUCCCGAUUGAGGUCCGAUUGAGAGUAAUAGUCACUUGCCAAAUAUUAAAUGCUCCAACAGUUAGUGAACUGGUCGACCCCCACCUUGCCCAGUUGAGGUUACUUUUUGGUUUUCUUGGCUCCCGAUGUUAGAAACCUAUAAAUAGAGAGUUCCACUUCAUUUAUGAGCAAGAGAACACUUGCAUUUAUUUGUUUACCUACUUGUUCUUGCCUUAAAAGCUCUCAUUUCUUUUCUUGGUGCAUUAAAUCUCCAUUUUGAUAUCCUUUAGUGCACCUUUGUGAUUCAUCUUAGCCUUGAGUUGUAUUUGAGCCCUUUUUUUAGCUAGGUUGAGAGUUUCAUACUUGUUAAUUGAGUGUUAAAGCCUUCAAGUGAGUUGAAACUUGUAGAGAUUAUGUGAGAGUCGAUUGGAGCCGAAAUCCAAGUGUAAAGGUGAUUAGAAGCUUGGUUGAAGCUUCAAGUUAGUGGAAUCCUCACUCAAUUAGGAGCUUGAGGAGAGUGGACGUAGCCAAGGAAGUGUCGAACCACUAUAAAAUUUGAGUUUGAUUUCUCUAACAUUGUCUCUUUAUAUUUGUUUAUCUUGUGCUUAAAUUUAUUGUGUUUAAAAAGAAUUUUUAAAUACCCAAUUCACCCCCCUCUUGGGUGUUUUUCUCUUUUAAAAUUAGCCUUUAUUUUCUCACAAACUAUUGUAGUAUAGUGGUUUUUAGGUGUCAUCCAUUAGGAUGAAUUGUUCUCGGUAAUUAAGGCGUGAAUGAGAGGAGAAUUAAUGAUUGUGAUUAAGUAAAAUUGAUUUGAAAAUUCAUGGUGAAAAAUCAAUUUAACAAUGGUUUCUAAUUGAGAAAAACAAUGAAAUGUGAAAUAAAAUAAAAUUAAUAGGAAAUGAAAUUCUCGAAGUUAGAAUUUUCUAAAAAACAAAUUCCAUGGUGAAUGGAUGUUGAGAUCUAAUUUUCAUCAAGUUAGAUUGAAAACCGAAAUUUUCAUAUAAACUGAUUUUUUAUUUAGUUUUAGGUCUAGAUUUAAUUUCCCUUAAAAUUAGGUUAUUUAAUCCAAGAAAUCAAUUCAAAUCAUAUAUUCAAUUCAUCUUAAAUUAUCUUCCAAUUAUUCACACAAUGCAACUAUUCAAUCUCAUCAAAUCUAGCUUUUAAGAAUUUAAUGAAUCUACCUAGUUUGCAUUGUAAUAGUCAUCCAUGACAAUUUGAAGAGAAAAAUAAUUCAAUUAAUCAAUCACUUGGAUCAAAUUACCUUUGCAAUUAAAGUUCAUUUCUCUAAUUCACCACAGAUUUUGUCUCUAGAUCCUCCUUUCUCAAAGAAAAAUGAGAUUUAGCCACACAUGAUUGGAGAUUUGGUCUCAUAAGGCAUGUUUAGCUAGUGAUAAAAUGAGAGAAAAUAAAGAAAAAUAGAGAAUUCGAUUAAGAAAGAAAAUCUAAAAAAUUCUACAAUUAGAAAUGUCCAAAAAGCUUUUUCAUGAGAAAAUCAAGUUUCUAUUUAUAGGCCAAGGUCAAGUGGACACUUGACAUCAUCUAAGAGGUCUUCCGGAAGCUUCUUCAUCAAGAAAUCUGGAGUUUAAUAAUAAAAUGGUCAUUUCACAAGAGCUCAAACAAUUUCGCAUGAUUAUGUGAAAUAAAAAAUGCAACAACAGCAAUUUACAUCUUCUUGGAGCAUUUCGCAUGACUGUGUGAAAUUUUCACAUGAUCAUGUGGAAUCGACUUGACAACUCUCAUUUAGCCUACAACAUAAUUCCACCUUUUGGUCCAUUUUUCAUAGUCAUGCGAAAUGGAAAUAUUUGAUUUUUAAGUUUUCUUUUGUCAUUUCUUUCAUUUCCUUCUCUUGAUUCCACUUCAACUACCUCCGAAUCCUGGUCCAAACCAAUUGCAUUACUUCUUUCAUUAUGCAUUUGGAUCAUCAUCAACAUUAUUUGUUCUCUUCAAUUUGAUUCAUCUCUUUUGUCACCAAUUUAUCAAAAUCAUACCUUGAAAUGACUCCAAAACUUCAUAAAACUUGUUAGUAACUCUUGCAAGGGCAACAACAUAUUAAUUAAGUGUUUUAGGCAUAGUUACUACUCAAAAGAUGCGAAACUCAUGAUAAUUAUUAUAUAAAAUAUGCUCUUUUUGAGUAGUAAUCAACUUUCUUGCAUAAGCAGACCUUUUAGGGUGGAGUACUAAAGACCAAUAUGCUUGUCCUUGUUGUAAUAAAGAAACUUGCUCUUAUUGAUUGCACCAUGGGAGAAAAUUUUGCUACAUGAGUUAUCAUCAAUUUCUUCCCACCAAUCAUAGAUUUAGACGUGACAAGAGGCCUCUUAAUGGCAAGGAGGAACUGACACUCACACUUAUACAAUUAUCGGGCAUUGAUGUGUUGCAACAAUUAGAAUAACUUACACCAAUUAUGUUGGGGAAGUCACAAAAGGCAAACAUGAAAACUAAAAGGAAAAAAGAAAAAUGUUACAUAUCACCACAACUGGAAAGAAAAAAGUAUUUACUUUCAUUUGCCAUAUUGGAAAGCACUUAUUUUACAUCAUAAUAAUUUAGACAUAAUGCAUAUUGAGAAAAAUGUGUGACAAUAUAAUUGAGACAUUGUUCAGUAUUGACGAAGAAACAAGGACAACCUAAAUAGUCAUCUCGAUUUACAAGCUCUAACUAUUAGAAAUGAGAUUCACCCAAUAGAAAGCAGGACCAAAUUUAUUUUGCUUGCAACAUGCUACUCACUCACCCCAAAUGAGAUUAAGGAAUUUUGCAAGUUUUUGAAAUCAAUAAAGGUCCCCAAUGGCUAUUCUUUCAAUAUCUCUCGUUAUGUGCAACUCAAUGAAAGGAAGAUAUAUGAGCUCAAAUUGUAUGAUUGUCAUGUCCUAAUGCAACAACUUCUCUCACUUGUAGUUCGUGGAGUUCUACAUAAGAAUGUUUGUGGAGUUAUCAUAGAAUUGCGUAAUUUUUUCAAGCAAUUGUGCUCAAAGGUGUUAGAAACAAAUCACUUACACCAACUUGAGAACAAUAUUAUUGUCAUACUAUGUAAAAUGGAGCAAAUAUUUCUUCCAUCAUUCUUUGAUAUUAUGGUGCAUUUACUUGUGCAUCUAGUAAGGCAAAGGUUGCAAGACUUGUGCAAUAUUGUUGGAUGUACCUAAUUGAACGAUAUUGUUAUAAUUUCAUAUGAAUCAUUUAAUUUUAUUUUAUAUUAUGUUCAGUUCAUUAACAUGUACAUUGGUCUACAUAUGGAUGAUGAUAGGUACCUAAGCACUUUAAAGUCAUAUGUGCGUAAUAGAACUUUUCUAGAAGGUUCUAUUGUAGAAAGGUACCUUGCAAAAGAAUGUACAACAUUUUAUUCUAGGUACUUGAAUGAUGUGGAAAUAAAGUAUAAUCACAAUGAUAGAAACUUUGUUGGUUUCAACACUAGAGGAGAUGAAAGGGGUUAUCUUUAAACAUAUUGGACAUGCAUUGGGAAAGCCCAUAUUUCAUUAACUUAGUUCAAAAGAGUGGUCACAAGCACAUUUAUAUGUGUUGACAAAUUGCGAAGAUGUCAUACCAUUCAUUGAGUAAAAAAUUUAUUUGAAUUUUAAUUAAAGCUCUAGUUUAUAUCCUUAAUCAAUGUUUUUUAAAUUCACAAGGAGCACAAGCAAACCAUCAAGGCUAGACCACAUAUACGUGUUUGAGACGUAGAUUUAAUUCAUAACAAGGAAUUUAUCAAGUGGUUUGAAAGACAUGUAAGUAUAUUCCUUAUUAUAAGGGAUUUAUUUCACAUUAUGUUUAUAUUGAAUCCAAACCUAUUAUUGAAUUGUAGGUUGAACAAUUACAUAAUGAAGGUCAUAUAUCUGAACACCUUCUCACAUUAUCAUGUGUUCCAAAUUCAUUAGUUACAUGCUUCAAAUGAUAUAUUGUCAAUGGAUUUAGAUCCCACAUUAAAGAACGUGAUAAAAAAGUUUUUAAAAAAAGACUCAGAAUAAUGGAAUUGUUGUAGUUGCAAAAACGUCAAGCUUUACAAGUGCAUGUGAUAUGAGUCCAAUUAUUAGUGAUGCUCUCUACUAUGGUGUUCUAACUAAAGUUGUUGAGUUACAUUAUCUUGGUGAAAAUAAGGUUGUUUUAUUCGAGUUUGAUUGGUGGGAUGUUACAAAUAUUGGAAAAUUGAUAAAAGAUGAUGAGUACAAUUACACAUUUGUUAACUUUGCAUGAAUUCUAACCACGAACGAACGAUUUGUACUUGCAUCUCCAGCAAAGUAAGUGUUCUAUGUGAAGAAUGCGAAUGAAUCAGAUUGGCAUACUAUCAUGGAGAUGCAACCUCAAGACCUCUAUAAGAUGAACGGGAUAGGAUCCAAUGGUGAUUUUGAACCAUUUCAACAAAGUGAACUACAUGAUCACUAAUAUAUCUCAGAUUUAGUUGAUGAAGAUAUAAUCAAGUGGAACAAAAGUGAUGUUUUAGGACUAAUCAUCCUAAAAAAUAUUGUAGUUUCUUAAAAAAAAAAUGAAAAUGAAGAAGAUAAUUGAACCUUUGUCAUACUUUAAAAAGCAACUAUGCAUUGUUCAUUUUGUAUGUUUUGGUUUUCUUCAUUUAAUUUCCUGAUUUUUGUGAUUCAAUGUCAUAUUAUUGAUCUUGAAAUAUUUUUCUAAUUUUUCAUUCUACGAUGGUUUCAACAAGGAUGACAUCAAGUCAAAAAAGGAAAUGUGGUCCCACACACAAUAUUGCAUUACAGGGAUUAAGGUCAGGGAAGAAGGUAAAAGUUGCAUUUAAUGAGUACAAUCAAUUGGUUAAACAGAAAAAUGGAAAACACUUAUCGAGCUACAUAGGGACACUUGUAUCUAACCAACACAAUGUACCUCUCCAAGCUAGUGAUUGGAAAAAUGUUCCAAAUGAUGCAAAAGAGAAAGUAUGGCCUUUGUUUUGGUAUGUUGUAUUUCUCACUAUAUGAUGUCAUUUCACUGUUAUUCUAUUUUGUGACUAACGUUUGAAUCAUAUGUAAGAAAAAUUUGAAGUAGAUAAAGACUGAAAAGAUUACAUGUUGGGUAUAGCCUCAAAUAAAUAUAGAAGCUAUAAAAAUAUGAUGAAUGCAAAAUACUAUGACCCUUGGCAUAAGGAUGCAUGAGGAGAGGUUAAUACAUAAAUCACCAUUUGUCUCUGAUGUUGAUUGGAAGUGGCUUGUCUCUGAUGCAUAAACCAAAUCCCCCACUGAAUGUUUGAUAUUUGAUAGCAGGAAAAACACACCCGCAGCUAUACACCUCCAUCAUUCAGAUAAUUAUAGUGGGGGAGAUGAUUCAUGGUUGCCCUUAUACCCUUUAUUUGCACCAUCUAUUGAGAUUCUUUAUCAUGGCCAGGUUUUACUGCAGCAAUAAGAUAUGGUGGCAACAAUUUUAUCUAUAGGUGCGGUUCCAGACCGCCUCCAUAGGUGCGGUUCCUGACUGCCUCCAUAGGUGCCUCUUCUUGUAAUGUUUGUUCUGGGAAUUACACUUGAAAGCCUUAUCGUGAUAAGGGAUUACAAACACUAGUUCAGAGGACAGCCAUGUUAAACUUCCACUAUGUUUGUGUCACAUUAUCAGCAGCCUAGUGUUUAUUGGUCAUGCUAUCUGCAACUAAUAUAACCCGGUGAACUUCAAUCUAAAUUCUGAAAGUACUCAUGUGACAGAUGGUGCCUUUCAGCAGAUAUCAUCAAUUUAAAAGUAGUGUGUGUGCCUAUAGGUGGGAAGGCCUUGGCAAAUGUUCAGUAUUCCGGUAAUUCAAGAAGGAUAUAUCUAAAAUAGAUUUUCUUCUUGCCCAUUUCAAUAGUUAAAAUUUGAGAAGAUUGUGUCCACAUCACACAAAUAUUAUUGGUCCUUCUGUUGCAAUUUACCUCUGAACAUGUCUUCCAAUUCCCACGGUCCUGUUACUCCAGGAAAACUAUUUCGGUCAUAUUGAAAAAAAAAAUAUUAAAGAAGGUACACAUGCUUUUAAGUGGACUGGGGCAUUCAUAUCAGGUGGUCUGUAUCCACAUAUGCCACUUCGUGAAAGGUGGAACAGCCUAAUCACUAGGCUAUUUAGUGUGGCCCAGCCACGUUAAUCAAGCACAAGUCUUCAUACUUAAAGUCAAAUGGUGUCUUUAGUCUCAUUACACAUCGCUAUUUGAAGAUUAACUCAUCACUAGUGUAAUGCGAUUAAGACAGUCCUAACUCAAUAUUUGUUCUAGUUUUGGAUGCAAAUGCUUGCUGGUUUCAUCAUUGGAUGGGAUAAAGGUGCAAUCAGGACUAUGAAUACGUGCAGUAAUACUUCAUUCUCUUUUUUCUCAAUGAGACUUCUUGGCACAAUUUUGCUGCUCAGCAACCUACCUUUCCAUGGAAAAUCAGUUGUGACUGAUAGUAAUGGAUAUAUUCUAGAAAGCUAAACAUAGAUAGCAUUCAAUAUUAUCGAUAUAACAUUAACAGCGUAUGUCUCAAUGCUCAUCAGCUACAAGCAAUGGACAAACACUUUGAGUAACUCACAGCAGUCAAAAUUCCUAAACAGGACAGACGUGACAGAUCUAUAUAUAGAACACUGCAUAUGAGUCACAGGAAAAGAUAAUACGGGUACAUAGAAGCUCUUAUUUUACAUAUUACUCAUACUGAUCAAAGUCGCUCAGUUGGGAUGGAUGGGAGAAGGAGGUUUGAGGGGUGGCUUGUGCGGGGAAGUUGGCAGCUUCUUUCCGGGAGCUGGUUGCUUCUUUGCUGGAGUUGAAGGAGGCUUAAUCUUCCGAGGUGGCUUGUAUGAGUCUUCAGCAUUCUCAGCAGGAGGGUGACCAGGGUUGUGACCAUAAUGUGGUGGCUUCUCUCCCUUAGGUGGUUUGCCAACUGGGGUUGGUGGCUUGUUUUCUGGGAGUGGCUUCUCUCCCUUGGGUGGUUUGCCAACUGGGGUUGGUGGCUUGUGUUCUGGGAGUGGCUUCUCCCCCUUGGGAGGUUUUUCGAAUGGGGUGGGUUUGUGUCCUGGUGGUGGCUUCUCUCCCUUGGGAGGUUUACCAAUUGGGGUCGGUGGCUUGUGUUCUGGGAGGGGCUUCUCUCCCUGGGGAGGUUUAGUGGGUGGCUUGUGUUCUGGAGGUGGCUUCUCCACCGGAGGCUUAUGCUCUGGUGGUGGCUUCUCGAAGGGGGGAUGCUCAGGGUAAUCACCAAGUGAGGGGGUGGUGAGAACCACCAUGCCAAGCAACAACACUAGCAAGUAUGUAGUAGACAUCUUUGGGUUUGGACUCAGACAGUGCAAAACUACGAGAAAUCGCUAGCCCUUUAUAGCGGCUCGGACCUAAUACUGACAUAAUAUAAAAUAAAUAUUAUAUUUUAUCAAGAGAGAACAGAGUGUAAUUUUAUCAUUAAUACCGAUCGAGGCCAAAGAAAGAAGACCCAUAAUCCAUUUCCCACAAGCAUACACAAUGCAGCUGUAAUUUUAUCAUUUACUUUUAUCCCUUGGACCACUGCAUUUUUGUUGAGAGACACAAUAACACAUUUUUAUCUGUCAUUCAACAUUUACAGUAAAGAGAGGGCACAAAACGCAAUUAGAUAAAUUAUGUUUUGCCUGCUAAAAAGAGGCAAAUAACUUUAUUUGCAACAUAAUUAUUUUGGUUUCUAGUGACCCCGGGGCCUUUCGGUUGGUUUGGGAUCGGAAAAUGAACAUCAUAGGGGGGGUUGUGCCCUUAUGGGCAUAUAUAUCUGAUAGCUUCAACUGGCCUUGUUCCUAGAAAGAAAUUGCCAAAGAUAUAAACUUAUUCCAGGCUGAAAGUAGAUGAGAGUCAUAAUGAACAUCAACCUUUGUUCAGUUUGAUUCAAUGCCCCCAUAGUGUUCAUUUCACAGAUCUGAAUGAUUAUAUCCGUUGAAUACAUAAAUUAAUGAAGACAAAUAUGAAACCCAAGAUACAUCUCUGCAUAACAACCCCAACCCUGGUUGCUAUGUUUCCCUUCUUCUAUUCACAUGAGGAUACUGGUUAUAAUUGUCAAACUUGCAACAAGCCCUUUGACACCUAACGUCAAUGGACGAAUUAAAAGUCUCCUUCAAACGUCUAUUUCACAGCAUGAAGCUUAUAAAGGAUGCUGACAACCUUCAGAGUUAGCGACAAAAGAUAAUUAUCAAGGAGAGAUAGUUCCAUGAGAAUUCCAAGGAGUCUGAAUCAAAGACAAAUUGCUCACUCAAGGGUUCUUAUUUUCUUUUAGGUACAAAUCUCUUGAGUGUUGUUAAAGAAACACGUCACUGUCAUUUUGAUUUGCAUUUAACAUUUCACUUUUGUUCUGGAAGGUUUGUUCCGGAAACAUAUCAAAUGAGCAUCAUUUUCUUCUUCGGUGACACAUGGUCGCGAGUACGUGGGUCCAUUUUCAUGCCACUUAGUUGAAAAGUUGGAAAGAAAAAACAUGCCAACAAGAAGAUAGUGAGAGAAGGGGCACUUCAAGCCUUUAACAUGAACAAACAGUAAAUAAAAGAUGUUUCUCCACUCAUAAAAGUGUGUUAGAUAGCAAUAUAACGAAUCACAUCCAAAAUCUUUACUAGGCUCAAACAUAAAGAAGACUCAUUUUUAAGAAAAGAUAAAAAUGGCAUUGUCUGAUAGUAUCCAAUACACGAGAUGGCACUUAAUUUGUACAAGAUCUGUCAAUGCUGACGCACAUUUUCUGAUUAAAAAAAAACUGAUCAGUCAAAAGCAAUGAAGAGAAGUGAUGACAAUGAAUGAUGCUUCCAAUAUUUUCACCCCUUAUAGUGUUCUUCAUGAUUCAGAUAUAUAAUUGGAAAUAGAACAACCCUAUGCCAUACAUUCGUCUAAGUAUGGUGUCUAAUUUUUUGUGUCAGCGGUUGCGAAUGGAGCGUGCAAAAGUCCAAAUUGGCGUCUCUCCAUUUCCACAUAGGAAGGUGACCUUUAUUGACAAAUACCCAAUAUUUGUAGACAUUCCUUAAAUAUCAUAACUUCUUGUUGAUUUGAAAAUCAUUUUUCAACUACCAUGUUUUAAUAAAUAUUUUUUAAAAUGUAUUUUUAUCAAAGUCCACCAUGAUGGAUAAUAUUCACCAUGCAAUAAUUAAUAAAGUACAAACUAAGCGAAAUGAAAAGCAUUUUCUUUGCUUUGAGUUGAUUUUGGUUGCAUUGAGUUGAUUUUGGUUUCAUGGUUUUUUCAACUCUUAUUUUGAUUGGAAGAUGUCAAGAAAAGAAAACAUAAAGAAAAAUUAAAAGGGAAAAAAGAAGAAAAAUAAAAAAAAAUAGAUUUAAAAGUUAAUAAAUUAUUUUUUAUAUUUAUUUUAAUUCAUUUCACUUAUUUUUCUUUUACUAUAUAAAAUUUAAAUAAUUUAAAUUUUAUAAUUAAUUUAAUUACAUUUCAUUUUCUUCUAUAUUUAAAUAUUGGAAAAAUAUUUUACUUAAUAUUUUUUUCUUUAAUUUCUUUGGCAUUUUGGGAACCAAACUUAGCCUUUAAAAUAAAAAACAAAAAAAAAAUGAAAAUAAGGAGGGAAAAGUGAGAAAAGAUAAAAACAAUAUGUAAAGGAUUUGAAAAGUAUUAGUUUGUAAUUACUAUUUGGAUUUCAAUAGUAUUUUAUUUGUCUUUCUAUAUUUCAUGUAAGAGAGAAUUUAAGAUAUUCCCCAAGGCAAAGCAUUAGUUACCUGCAAUCAGUGGUGAUAAGGCUCCAAGCCAAUUUUGGGCCCCAUAUCUUAAGACAGUACAAUUUCCAUUUCAACAUUUCUGAUUUCUCAGAUGUUUCACAUACCACAGAAGAACAUUGUUUGUGAAAAUAUGCAUUUAUGUUGGAUUUUGUAUGCUGUGGGGACUGGGGCAAGGAUCAUAUGGAAGAGUGGUUGACUUUUUCUGUACUUUAACGGUUGAAAUAGGAUAAGCACGGGCAUUUGUGAGGCUUAAUUGAUUUUGAAGCCUGAAAUUGCGUUUCUGUCAUUUUGUCAAAAAAAUGGCAGAUUCCAUACUCAUAUGUUUGGCCUGUGGCCAUGUACAGAUGCCAUUUAGUGACCAGUUUGUAACUGUCAAUCGUUGCGUUUUGACUCUGCCUCAACAACAUCUGCCAUUGACGGGUUUUCAUACUUGCAAAUCAAAUAGUCUUUCGUCCCAUCAGGAAUUUCGGUUUAAAUAUUAUUAAGCAUACGUUUGGCUGACAAUCAUUAUCCAGUUCAUGAUUUGGUUUCUUACCCUUAAUCAAUGGUUUCUAAGUGAAUAUAUGUAGAAGGAAAUCCGAAGUGUAGACAGUAGUAUCGAUAACUCUCAAUAUUCUCUAUAUAAUAGAAUAAACAGCGUCAUAGUGAUCGUCGCCUACAAGCAAGGUACAAAUACCAAAACGAGUGACUCACAUAGACAUCUCCCAACAAGAUGUAGUAGUGACUGACACAUGGACACAAUUAACUCGUAGAAAAGGAUAAGACCAUUGCACAGCAGCUCUUAUUUUACAUACUACUUAUGCUAACCAAAGUCAAUUAGUUGGGAUGGGUGGGAGAUGGAGGUUUGUGCGGUGGCUUGUGGGGCGGAGUUGAUGGCUUCUUUCCAGGAGCUUCUGGCUUUUUCAUCGGAGCUGAAGGAGGCUCAAUCUUAUGAGGCGGCUUGUAUGAGUCUUCUUUACUCUCGACAGGAGGGUGGCCAGGGUUGUGAUCAUAAUGUGGUGGCUUCUCUCCCUUAGGUGGCUUGCCAACUGGGGUUGGUGGCUUGUGUUCAGGAAGUGGUUUCUCUCCCAUGGGAGGUUUAGCAAUUGGGGUUGGUGGCUUGUGUUCUGGGAGUGGCUUCUCUCCCUUGGGAGGUUUAGUAGGUGACUUGUGUUCUGGAGGUGGCUUCUCCACCGGAGGCUUGUGCUCCGGUGGUGGCUUCUUGGUUGGAGGGGGCUUGGGGUAAUCAGCAAGAGAUGGGGUGGUGAGAACCACCAGUCCAAGGAACAACACUAGCAAGUAUGUGGGAGACAUUUUUGAGUUUGGGCUGAUCAGAUGAUGCAAAACUAAAGCAUUACGUGACCUUUUAUAGCAUGUAGCUCCCAAUACCCACUAAGUAUUGUGGGGUCCAUUUGUGCCCUACGGGGUUGAAAACUUAGACAAUUGGGCAAGGACCCACCUGACUAUGGAGGACUAGUGAGGUGUGAUCAUAGCUUUAGGAUUUUUCUUCCUCUGCAGCCGUCGUGCCGUUGGCAUGAUUUUCUUAAUCUUAAAUAAAGGCAUAGUUAUAGAGUUGUUUAAUCUCUAAAUGGGAUUUUAUAUAUAUCUUCAGAUAGCCAUUAAUAUAUUUGAUGAAGAAAGAAAGACAAGUGCAUACAACAUGUAUACGACUAGCUUUCAUGGAGUUCAUUUAUGAUCAGUUUUCCUGUACAUGUAAACCAGGAUCAUAUAUAUGUUUCUGUUCCACAACUAUUUUGGAAUCUUGUUUAUCAGUUUUUAUCAUUAUAAUGUCACAUAGGCUGCCAACUUGGGCGCUAAAAGAACCAGUUGGGCUAGUUCGUUUCAGAAUUUCAAUGUGGAUUCAGGAAUUGUUUUGUAAGAUAUGCGAAAUAGUAGAGGGAUGAAUAGUGUUUCAUUAAUAAAAGUGUCCUGUAAAUUAGAAGGUGUCAUAGAAACUAUAAUCAAUAAAUAACUUUUUUUCCCCACGGGUGGUGUUUCUUGUGGGGAUCAGUGACUGGUUUAGGUUCACCCAAAAUGAGUUCAGACUAAAAUUGGUUUGAGUCAAUGCCGUGUCUCUUUUUUCCAGAAAUCAACUAUUUUAUGCAUUGAAUAAAUCAUACAAAGAAAAUAUGAACGCCCGCAAAACCUAAACCCUGGUUGCUAACUUUCUAUGUUUCAGUUCUAUUCACGCAAGAAUAUUAGUUUAAGUUUGGGAAAAAUGGCAACUUACCUAGUGAUUACUUGGUUUUGGUUUGCGACUAUUUACGCAACCAACCAUGAGUUUGACUUUAACGUCAUGGGUUGAAGCCUCCUACAGGAAGGGAGAAAGCUCCACAGCUAGCUCCAAAAGAGAAUUAUCACAUUGAUAGCUCCAGAGAUUCCCAAGGGGACUGAAUCAAAGACAAGUUCCUCACUUUUUCUUCUUUUGAGGCCAAAUAUGAACCAAGGAUCACACAACCUCAUUCAACUUCAUAAGUUUGAUUUCAUGCAGUUGAACACUGGGUGAAGGCCAUGACAAGAAUUGAUUCAAAAAUUCUAUCACUCUUUUAAGUAAUGGAAGAUUAUUAUCUCUGAUUGGCAUCACAACAGCACAUGCUCCUAGAUCUUUCUAGACACUCCAUGCAAUGAAAGCACAAUGGAUCUUGUAACGAUAGAAACUAAGCCAUGCUACAGUACUAGAUGAUGAGGUAAAACUAGUAGACACGGGUGGCAGCCUAUAUGGGAGGGACACAAGUCUAAUUGAUUUGCAUUUCAGCAUUAUAGAUAGGUAUGUUUUGGAAGAUUUGUUCUGGAAAUACCGCACCAAGUAGGAUUCUUUUUCUCUUUAGUGGGUCCACUUGCAUGCCAAUUAACGAGUUGAAAAGUAUGAGCACCUACCUCGUGCUCGUGGAACCGAAGGUCAGUGAAGUGGGGCUCCUUUUGGCCUCGUGUAAACUUGAUUCAGAAGUGAAGUUAAUAGUCUUCCAUUCAGAUGGAUACAUGGGAAUUUUUCUCUUUUAUUUAUUUAUUUAUUUUUUUUUUGUGUGUGUAUGUCAAAGGAUAAUGAAUGAAGCGCGUUAGCUUGUUUUCUGACUGGAACCGCAGAUGUCCAAAUUGGAGUUCCUUCAUUUCUUACUUAGGAUUGUUACAUGUAUAAACAAGGUAUAAGAAAUAUGCCAACGUGUCUUGAGGAGUUAUUGAUUAGAAAUAACAAGUCACCCGACUGUAGAGUUCCAAGAUUUGAAUCUUCAGACCCUAUAGCAGCCUCUGGGGUACGUGGCAUCCUAUAGCAUAUUAAUGAAGGCUUUUUCGAUUUAGACUUCACAAUACCAAUUAAUAUGUAUGCACAAAAUGGAGAUGACCCCAAAAAAAACAGAAUCGCCAUAGUUUAUGAGGUUAAGGUGAUUCUCCACUUAAUAUCUACAUUAGCUAAUUAUGUAAAUCAAAUGAACUUCUAUUUUUCCUUUUUUUUUUUGGUUUAUGUCAAAUAGUAGCCCAUAAUUAACCCAACCAUUAGCCUGUUUGAAUUGAUUUCACAUGCACAAUGUUGUAGUAGUUCAUAUUUUGAAUUUUAUUUUUACAAAGGUAGUUAAGGAAAAUGAAGUAUAAUAAUUAUAAAAGCAGACUAUAUACACUACAAUAAUUGUUAGAAUGGUAUCUCAAAUUCUAAUUUAAAAUAUUAUUUUUUGUAAAAGAAAUAUUAUAUAGAAUAUUUCCUAAUUUUAUAAAUGAUUAUAAUUAGAUCUUUAUAAAAUAAGGAAAGUUGGUAAGAAUAUCUUUAUAAAUAUUUUAGGUCAUGAGAGAAAGAAAUGGGAUAAAAAUGUGAUGAAGAGGUGAAAUAAGAGAGUUGAUUAGGAUAUAGAUGUGAAGAAGAAAGGGAUUCAAUAUAUAUAUAUCUUUCAAUUACCACAUUAAAACCCUGUGAACCUUUUAUAUGGUUUACUUUAUUUUUAUAUUCCUCCUUUAAUAUAUUUACAUUAAUGCUUCCAUUGGCACAACAAUAACGAAUUACAAAUACAAGCAACAAGUCCCAUGUUUUAUUACCAAAAGCAGGUAAAAUCCACCUAAUAUAUUACAAUAUAUUCAUCCAAUAUUUUAGACCAAUUCUUCACCAUAAAUAUCAUAAUGUGGCUUUUGUUCUUUCUUAAAUUUAAAUUGAAUUGUCUUAUAUCAAUUUGUUUGUGAUUUUUUCAUUAACUUCACUUUCAUUUGGUUAUCUUUGGUUUUUGAAAAGUAUUAAGGAAUUAAUUAACAAAAUAAUGUUAAGAAAAAUAAUUUUCUCUCUUUUGAUUUUGAUUUUGUAGUAGAAAAAUAUAAUUAAAAUUAUUUAAAAAGUAUGUAAUUUUAAAUUAUUUAAUAUUUAGAUAAAAAAAAUAAGUCUAAUGAGUUUAAAAUAACAUAUAAAAAUAAUUUAUUUAUUUUAAAUUUAUUUUUUAUUUUCCAUUAUGUUCUCUUUCUCUUUUACUUUUUCAUAUUUUUUCUUACGAAGAAUCAAACACAACCUCAUAUUAUAUGUCAAGUGUUUGUCUAUAUUUGAGCAAUGUUAGAUACGGCCAUGGAUUCAUCAAACUAAACUGAUUUUAAUAGAUACUUCACAAAUUGAUUUAUACACUAAAUCAUUGGAUAGCAAUGAUGCAUUGGAAUUAAACGUAGGAUGAAGCUCGAAGAACACUGUUUGUGUAACAACAUAUUUAUGAAAUUAUGCAAAGGAUGAGCUUCGGGGUAGUAGUACAAGGUCAUUAAUGGAGAGCCGUGUUAAACCUUGAUUGUGAUUGGAUUCCGUUAUCAGCAACAGCAACCUUGUUUGUAACCUUGAAAGUCAUUCUGUCCACAUCGAAACUCCAAUUUGACGUUUGUAAUUACCAUUCCUGGAGUGUUCCUUGAUUGAAAUUUAAAUAAUAAUUGCGGCCCACAAGGAAUAUUUUCGAUUCUGUGGGAAUUUGACAAGGUUUGUUAGAGAAGACUGGUGACAUGUUGACUUCAAUGGUUCAAAUAGGAGACGUAUGUGGAUUUGGGGGGUUUAAUUGAAACUGAGUCCCUAUGGCUUUUUAAUAUUUGCAUUGAGCAGUCUCCAUGUGACUUCCUAAUUCCCACCAACCCUCCUGUCCAUGCUGUGAAACUAAAUUGUAAUUUAUCAGCCUUUGUCAAUGGUUUCUAAAUUAAAGAUAUAGACCAUGCAUGUACUUUAAUAAAAGCAAAUCUAAAGUGUAGAUAGCAGCAAUGGUGACACCCAAUAUUCUCCAUAAAAUAGAAUUAGAAUAAGCAGUGUUACAUUGUUCAUGAUCACCUACAAGCAUACAAGAACUUCCAUGAAUAACUCAUAGCAAUUGCCAACAGGGCGUCGUAGAGACUCAUACAUAGAACACUAUCCACCCAGAGGAAAGGACAAGACCAGUGCGCUGCAGCUCUUAUUUUUCACAUGUAUACCACCACUCGUAAUAACCAAAUUCACUCAGUUGGGAUAGGUGGGAGAUGGUGGUUUGUGGGGUGGCUUGUGGGGAGGAGUUGGAGGAGGCUUUAUUUUCUGAGGCGGCUUGUAUGAGUGUGCAGGAGGAUGCCCGGGAGUGUGACCAUAAUGUGGUGGCUUCUCUCCCGUAGGUGGUUUGCCAAAUGGGCUUGGUGGCUUCUCUCCCUUAGGAGGUUUACCAAUUGGGGUUGGUGGCUUGUGUUCUGGGAGUGGUUUCUCUCCCUUGGUAGGUUUGCCAAUUGGGGUUGGCGGCUUAUGUUCUGGGAGUGGCUUCUCUCCCUUGGGAGGUUUGCUAAUUGGGGUUGGCGGCUUAUGUUCUGGGGGCGGCUUCUCUCCCUUGGGAGGUUUGCCAAUUGGAGUUGGCGGCUUAUGUUCUGGGAGUGGCUUUUCUCCCUUGGGAGGCUUGCCAAUUGGGGUUGGCGGCUUAUGUUCUGGGGGUGGCUUCUCUCCUUUAGGAGGUUUGCCAAUUGGAGUCGGCGGCUUAUGUUCUGGAAGUGGCUUUUUUCCCUUGGGAGGUUUGCCAAUUGGGGUUGGCGGCUUAUGUUCUGGGGGUGGCUUCUCUCCCUUGGGAGGUUUGCCAAUUGGAGUCGGCGGCUUAUGUUCUGGGAGUGGCUUCUCUCCCUUGGGAGGUUUUGUUGGUGGCUUGUGUUCUGGAGAUGGCUUCUCCCCUGGAGGCUUGUGCUCCGGAGGUGGCUUCUGAAAUGGCGGGGGCUUGGGGUAAUGAGCAAGAGAUGGAGUACUG
rnacentral:lncRNA from 1 species